rnacentral:rRNA from 1 species
GGUUAAGCGACUAAGCGUACACGGUGGAUGCCCUGGCAGUCAGAGGCGAUGAAGGACGUGCUAAUCUGCGAUAAGCGUCGGUAAGGUGAUAUGAACCGUUAUAACCGGCGAUUUCCGAAUGGGGAAACCCAGUGUGAUUCGUCACACUAUCAUUAACUGAAUCCAUAGGUUAAUGAGGCGAACCGGGGGAACUGAAACAUCUAAGUACCCCGAGGAAAAGAAAUCAACCGAGAUUCCCCCAGUAGCGGCGAGCGAACGGGGAGCAGCCCAGAGCCUGAAUCAGUGUGUGUGUUAGUGGAAGCGUCUGGAAAGGCGUGCGAUACAGGGUGACAGCCCCGUACACAAAAAUGCACAUACUGUGAGCUCGAUGAGUAGGGCGGGACACGUGGUAUCCUGUCUGAAUAUGGGGGGACCAUCCUCCAAGGCUAAAUACUCCUGACUGACCGAUAGUGAACCAGUACCGUGAGGGAAAGGCGAAAAGAACCCCGGCGAGGGGAGUGAAAAAGAACCUGAAACCGUGUACGUACAAGCAGUGGGAGCACAGAGCAAUCUGUGUGACUGCGUACCUUUUGUAUAAUGGGUCAGCGACUUAUAUUCUGUAGCAAGGUUAACCGAAUAGGGGAGCCGAAGGGAAACCGAGUCUUAACUGGGCGUUAAGUUGCAGGGUAUAGACCCGAAACCCGGUGAUCUAGCCAUGGGCAGGUUGAAGGUUGGGUAACACUAACUGGAGGACCGAACCGACUAAUGUUGAAAAAUUAGCGGAUGACUUGUGGCUGGGGGUGAAAGGCCAAUCAAACCGGGAGAUAGCUGGUUCUCCCCGAAAGCUAUUUAGGUAGCGCCUCGUGAAUUCAUCUCCGGGGGUAGAGCACUGUUUCGGCAAGGGGGUCAUCCCGACUUACCAACCCGAUGCAAACUGCGAAUACCGGAGAAUGUUAUCACGGGAGACACACGGCGGGUGCUAACGUCCGUCGUGAAGAGGGAAACAACCCAGACCGCCAGCUAAGGUCCCAAAGUCAUGGUUAAGUGGGAAACGAUGUGGGAAGGCCCAGACAGCCAGGAUGUUGGCUUAGAAGCAGCCAUCAUUUAAAGAAAGCGUAAUAGCUCACUGGUCGAGUCGGCCUGCGCGGAAGAUGUAACGGGGCUAAACCAUGCACCGAAGCUGCGGCAGCGACNNAUGCUGGAGGUAUCAGAAGUGCGAAUGCUGACAUAAGUAACGAUAAAGCGGGUGAAAAGCCCGCUCGCCGGAAGACCAAGGGUUCCUGUCCAACGUUAAUCGGGGCAGGGUGAGUCGACCCCUAAGGCGAGGCCGAAAGGCGUAGUCGAUGGGAAACAGGUUAAUAUUCCUGUACUUGGUGUUACUGCGAAGGGGGGACGGAGAAGGCUAUGUUGGCCGGGCGACGGUUGUCCCGGUUUAAGCGUGUAGGCUGGUUUUCCAGGCAAAUCCGGAAAAUCAAGGCUGAGGCGUGAUGACGAGGCACUACGGUGCUGAAGCAACAAAUGCCCUGCUUCCAGGAAAAGCCUCUAAGCAUCAGGUAACAUCAAAUCGUACCCCAAACCGACACAGGUGGUCAGGUAGAGAAUACCAAGGCGCUUGAGAGAACUCGGGUGAAGGAACUAGGCAAAAUGGUGCCGUAACUUCGGGAGAAGGCACGCUGAUAUGUAGGUGAAGUCCCUCGCGGAUGGAGCUGAAAUCAGUCGAAGAUACCAGCUGGCUGCAACUGUUUAUUAAAAACACAGCACUGUGCAAACACGAAAGUGGACGUAUACGGUGUGACGCCUGCCCGGUGCCGGAAGGUUAAUUGAUGGGGUUAGCGCAAGCGAAGCUCUUGAUCGAAGCCCCGGUAAACGGCGGCCGUAACUAUAACGGUCCUAAGGUAGCGAAAUUCCUUGUCGGGUAAGUUCCGACCUGCACGAAUGGCGUAAUGAUGGCCAGGCUGUCUCCACCCGAGACUCAGUGAAAUUGAACUCGCUGUGAAGAUGCAGUGUACCCGCGGCAAGACGGAAAGACCCCGUGAACCUUUACUAUAGCUUGACACUGAACAUUGAGCCUUGAUGUGUAGGAUAGGUGGGAGGCUUUGAAGUGUGGACGCCAGUCUGCAUGGAGCCGACCUUGAAAUACCACCCUUUAAUGUUUGAUGUUCUAACGUUGACCCGUGAUCCGGGUUGCGGACAGUGUCUGGUGGGUAGUUUGACUGGGGCGGUCUCCUCCUAAAGAGUAACGGAGGAGCACGAAGGUUGGCUAAUCCUGGUCGGACAUCAGGAGGUUAGUGCAAUGGCAUAAGCCAGCUUGACUGCGAGCGUGACGGCGCGAGCAGGUGCGAAAGCAGGUCAUAGUGAUCCGGUGGUUCUGAAUGGAAGGGCCAUCGCUCAACGGAUAAAAGGUACUCCGGGGAUAACAGGCUGAUACCGCCCAAGAGUUCAUAUCGACGGCGGUGUUUGGCACCUCGAUGUCGGCUCAUCACAUCCUGGGGCUGAAGUAGGUCCCAAGGGUAUGGCUGUUCGCCAUUUAAAGUGGUACGCGAGCUGGGUUUAGAACGUCGUGAGACAGUUCGGUCCCUAUCUGCCGUGGGCGCUGGAGAACUGAGGGGGGCUGCUCCUAGUACGAGAGGACCGGAGUGGACGCAUCACUGGUGUUCGGGUUGUCAUGCCAAUGGCACUGCCCGGUAGCUAAAUGCGGAAGAGAUAAGUGCUGAAAGCAUCUAAGCACGAAACUUGCCCCGAGAUGAGUUCUCCCUGACUCCUUGAGAGUCCUGAAGGAACGUUGAAGACGACGACGUUGAUAGGCCGGGUGUGUAAGCGCAGCGAUGCGUUGAGCUAACCGGUACUAAUGAACCGUGAGGCUUAACCUU